UGCCUGUAAUCUCAGCCCUGUGGGAGGCUGAGGCGGAUGGAUCACAAGAGGUUAGGCGUUCGAGACCAGCCUGGCCAACAUGGUGAAACCUUGGCUAUAGUAAAAAUACAAAAAUUAGACCCUGAAGGUCAUGUCCAAAUGAGAAAGACAUUGUUUGGCUCUAACUGUCUGACACUAAGAAACAGUGCAGACUGGCCAAGUGAGGUGUCUCACACUUGUAAUCCCAGCAGUUUGGGAGGCCGAGGCGGAUGGAUCACCUGAGGUCAAGGGAUCGACACCAGCCUGACCAAUAUGGUGAAACUUUGUCUCUACUACAAAAAAAGUACAAGAAAAUUAGGCAGUCAUGGUGGCACACACCUGUAAAUCCCAGCUAUUUGGGAGGCUGAGGCAGGAGAAUCGCUUGAACCCUGGUGGCAGAGGUUGUGGUGAGCAGAGGUCAGCCUGUAUCAAGCUUCUCCUUGUUCUAAGUGUGAACAGCUAGUCUGUAUCUUCACCGAAGCAUAUUUAAAAAUCAACCUUAGGAAGGCCCUUGGCCACCAUAAUCCUUCCACACUAGCAAAAGCCCAGACUCAGAGACUAGGCGUCCUUCUGCCUCCCACUGGAAUGCCUUCCCCCCGGAUCUCCAAGGUACCAAACCGCUCAGGGGCAGCUGAGACAGCCCUACUUCUGGGAGUCCUCCCCAACCCCUGAAAUCACAGGCAUCUCUGCUGUCCCUGCCCUUCAUCCACAUCACUGAACAAUUCAUUGCACACAUCUCUGUACUUUUAUUUAAACUGUUCCAUGUGUGUUUACAAUUAACUACUUCCUGAAUGACUGCGGUAUGGAUGGAGCAGAAAGGAAUGCUGAGGGAGGAUUCCUGUUCGAAUGAGCCCCUCUUCCAGAAUGAGAAUGAACUUUCCCCAGUACCAACAAGGCAGCCUCCAGGGCAGGAAAAGGUAACGGGAUCCAGCCUGCUGACAUCCAAGAUGGAAUUACAGGUAACUCUCACCUCUUUUUUGACUGUCAGGUGGAAACCCCCUCCCCACGAGGUGAAGCGGAGUCCGCUCCAGAGCCCCACAGUUGGGGUCGGGGAUGUCACAGAAAUCACCGGGGCAGCCAAUUCCCAUCCACAGGGGACCCAGGAUGACCCAGCACCCUCAAGCUCAGCCCCAAGCUCGGGCCAGGGAGUGAAGCCCUUGUCCCCAAGCAACAGAGUGAGGGUUUGUCUCUAACCCUGUGGGCUCCAGUGAAAGGAAAAUGGCCUGGAGGUGCCCACAGGAGAGCACCCCAGUUCUGAGACAGCUCUACGGCUCCCAGCCUGAGUCCCUGUGAGUAACACAAGGAUGCACAGAGGGGCAUGCUGCCUGCCUAUAGGGCACUCACGGAAUGCGGGUGCACACUGCGGAUCCUGAAGCCGGUCAGGUAACGAGGUGCAGAAGUGUGGGGAAGACCUGGAGGGAGGCCUCCCCGGGGGCCAACCAGCUGGGGCCACGGAUCAGAAGUGCUUCUGACAUUAAUAGGACACACGUAAGGUGUGUAGGGUGGGUAGUGGAUGUGACCACAGAGGCCUCUGGGGAUUGUAGUUUUGGAGCUAGAGAGGCGGGCAAACAGUUGGGUUUGCCCACACAGGGUGCCUCCGACAUCUGCACAGCGCACACAACCAAGCUUAGGAACCCACUGUUAAGAUGCCCAAGUGACACGGACAAGUUUCUCCUCUGCGAGCCAAUGAGAUCUGCUGGCUGACAGAGCAUCGUGGGACCACUGAAGGAUUCUGGAAAAUGUGGUCCCGGGUGGUCACUGUCCACUGACCUUCGCCUGUAGGUUCGACUUGAAGGAAACUUCUGGAGGGUGGGGCAGUGUUGAAGAGGAGGCACCAUUGUAACCAUUUUGUUCAACAUGGGUGUUUUCUUUAUGCAUUCAUUUGUAUUUUUAAAUAUAUUACAUUAAAAAUUUAUCUUGAUUACUUA